UACAGAGGGGGCAAGCGUUGUUCGGAAUUACUGGGCGUAAAGCGUGCGCAGGCGGUUUUGUAAGUCUGACGUGAAAUCCCCGGGCUUAACCUGGGAAUUGCGUUGGAGACUGCAAGGCUAGAAUCUGGCAGAGGGGGGUAGAAUUCCACGUGUAGCAGUGAAAUGCGUAGAGAUGUGGAGGAACACCGAUGGCGAAGGCAGCCCCCUGGGUCAAGAUUGACGCUCAUGCACGAAAGCGUGGGGAGCAAACAGG
rnacentral:rRNA from 1 species